rnacentral:lncRNA from 1 species
UUCUAGACUCCAAUUUUCCCAUUGGUAAUUCUUAGGAUGAGGAGUCAUAAUUUCAUGGUAAUUCUGCACAUCCCUGGGGAAAGAGAGGACGUGGUGGCUGCAGCUCCUCCUUCGCCUGCUCCCCAGGGGUGUCCGGCGACUCCAGUCACUCCCUGGCCACCGCCAGCAGGAGUAACUCGGCGCUGAGCUGCGGGUACGCUCUGGGCGUGGCGGACGCGGCAGGCUCUGCAGGCGGCGCCUUGUGGCAGAGGGAAGGCAUCGCUCACCGCCGCUGCCGAUGGGUUCAUGGAUCUGUCCUGAGAGGAGGACGAGGUGUCUCCAAUGCCAAGCUUCGGCAGCAGAAGCAGCAGCCACAGCGUACACAAAAGCCCGAACUGUUGGGAGGCGGAGGGUGGAGGGAUCCUGAGAGAGGGACUGCGGCCGGAUGCCCAGCUGUCGGAGCCCCGGCCAGAAACUGAACAACCCACAUGGAUUUGACAUCCCCUCAUGAUCAUCCUCAUGAUCAUCC